CCCAGGCACCCCUUUCAUGUUUCAGACUUGCGACAUUUGCAGGUAAAACUUUAUAGCCUUGACAUGCGCCCGUUGCGGUCUAAACCCAGGGUACAAAGGUUUUUGAACCUUUGGCGGAGACGUGCCCCCUUCUUCAGUAGACGCCUUUGUCUAUUGCAGCUCACCAACCCAGGUGCCCCUUCUCCUUAGUAGAUGCCUACUGUCUACUACAACCCACUAAUACUAGGGGUGUCCAUGGUCCAGAUUGAUCCAG
rnacentral:lncRNA from 1 species